UACAGAGGUCUCAAGCGUUGUCCGGAUUGACUGGGCGUAAAGCGCACGCAGGCGGACGCGCGCGUGGGGUGUGAAAUCUGGCCGCUUAACGGCCAGGCGCCAUCCCAUACGGCGCGACUGGAGUGAUGCAGAGGUCGAUGGAAUUGCCGGUGUAGUGGUGAAAUGCGUAGAGAUCGGCAGGAACACCCAGGGGGAAACCAGUCGACUGGGCAUCUACUGACGCUGAGGUGCGAGAGCGUGGGGAGCGAACCGG
rnacentral:rRNA from 1 species